rfam:TPA: Bos taurus chromosome 26, whole genome shotgun sequence.
UCCCUGGUGGCUUAGAAGGUAAAGCGUCUGCCUACAAUGCAGGAGACCCGGGUUCAAUCCCUGGGUUGGGAA